UAAAUAAGAUCAUUCUAGUAUUCAAUUAUUUUUUAUUAGCACAUCUCUUGUCUUAUGCUUGUGUAAUAAUUUUCAUAUUCUAUCCUGUUUACUUAUAUUUUCUCACUUUUAUGUAUAAUACCACUGUGUAACAACGCCGUUUUUUGUACAAUUGGAAGUAUUUGUUUGCGUGUUACUUUUACAUUUCCUUGUCUGUACAAACAAAGAUUAUAUUUCUCUUCUUGAAUUUCUUUGAUCAAUUCUAGAUUUAAGUAUGGUUGAGUAGAAGAAAUCAAUGCUUGAAUUAUCUAUAAAAAUAAAUAGAAUCAAGUCAGAUAUAAAAGGAUGUGAAGUUUGAUAUAGCACCGCAUUAAAUAACACUCACUUCAUUUGCUAAUUGAUUGGACAAUGUAGAAAAGACUGCAAUAUCUCUAGAUACAUGUUCACUGCUCACAUUUUGACCUAUGAGAAUAAUGACAUCGCAAUUUCUAUCAUUACUAAACUUUUCAAUUGUCUCUUUCGCGUUUUCUCGCAUGAGGAAAUUCUAAAAUUAAUUUUAAUAACAUACAUUUAUAAAAAUAUAAAUUAAAAGUAUAAUUUUUAAAUUAUUAAUAAAAAUUUUAAAUAGCACACCUCUACUAAAAGAGAGAAUCCUACAAGAGUUCUAUUGAAUAGAAGGCCACCAAGUUUCUCAAGGAUAUUUAAUACAUCGACAUCGGUAGCAGUUGCCCGACCAGCUUCCGCCGACAUAUUAAGAUUACGUGCGACAAGAGUGGCGCAGCUUCCAACAGUUUCUAUGUUCAACGACACGUUGGGCCAUGACCAGGCUGGAUCCAACGGUCGAUGAUCAAUAAUAGCUAUAACUGAAGAUUUCAAUGCAACAUCUUCAUUCGCGAGAGUAUGAUGGUCAACUAAAAUCAGCUCCAGCUUCUUGUCAGCAUCAUUCUGUACAUUUUGCAAAUUGAGCUGAUCUCUGUCAAGAGAUCACAUUCAAGUAGCGCAACAAAAUUACAAUAUUUUUCAGAA